rnacentral:rRNA from 1 species
CGAAUGGCUCAUUAAAUCAGUUAUCGUUUAUUUGAUAGUACCUUACUACUUGGAUAACCGUGGUAAUUCUAGAGCUAAUACAUGCUGAAAACCCCGACUUCGGGAGGGGUGUAUUUAUUAGAUAAAAAACCAAUGCCCUUCGGGGCUUCUUGGUGAUUCAUAAUAACUUCUCAGAUCGCAUGGCCUUGCGCCGGCGACGGUUCAUUCAAAUUUCUGCCCUAUCAACUUUCGAUGGUAAGGUAUUGGCUUACCAUGGUUUCAACGGGUAACGGGGAAUUAGGGUUCGAUUCCGGAGAGGGAGCCUGAGAAACGGCUACCACAUCCAAGGAAGGCAGCAGGCGCGCAAAUUACCCAAUCCCGACACGGGGAGGUAGUGACAAUAAAUACUGAUACAGGGCUCUUUUGGGUCUUGUAAUUGGAAUGAGUACAAUUUAAACCUCUUAACGAGGAACAAUUGGAGGGCAAGUCUGGUGCCAGCAGCCGCGGUAAUUCCAGCUCCAAUAGCGUAUAUUAAAGUUGUUGCAGUUAAAAAGCUCGUAGUUGAACCUUUGGCCUGGCUGGCAGGUCCGCCUCACCGCGUGUACUUGUCCGGCCGGGCCUUUUCUUCUGGAGAACCGCAUGCCCUUCACUGGGUGUGUUGGGGACCAGGACUUUUACUUUGAAAAAAUUAGAGUGUUCAAAGCAGGCCUUUGCUCGAAUACGUUAGCAUGGAAUAAUAGAAUAGGACGUGCGGUCCUAUUUUGUUGGUUUCUAGGACCGCCGUAAUGAUUAAUAGGGACAGUCGGGGGCAUCAGUAUUCAAUUGUCAGAGGUGAAAUUCUUGGAUUUAUUGAAGACUAACUACUGCGAAAGCAUUUGCCAAGGAUGUUUUCAUUAAUCAGUGAACGAAAGUUAGGGAUCGAAGACGAUCAGAUACCGUCGUAGUCUUAACCAUAAACUAUGCCGACUAGGGAUCGGGCGGUGUUUCUUAUUUGACUCGCUCGGCACCUUACGAGAAA